GACGAACGCUGGCGGCGUGCUUAACACAUGCAAGUCGAACGGAGUUACGUAUGAAGUAUUUCGGUACGGACUAUGUAACUUAGUGGCGAACGGGUGAGUAACACGUGGGCAACCUGCCCUUAACCGGGGGAUAACAUUGUGAAAACAGUGCUAAUACCGCAUAACAGAGUAUCGGGCAUCCGAUAUUUUUAAAAGGAGCAAUCCGGUUUUGGAUGGGCCCGCGUCCAAUUAGCUAGUUGGUGAGGUAACGGCUCACCAAGGCUACGAUUGGUAGCCGAACUGAGAGGUUGAUCGGCCACAUUGGGACUGAGACACGGCCCAGACUCCUACGGGAGGCAGCAGUGGGGAAUAUUGGGCAAUGGGCGAAAGCCUGACCCAGCGACGCCGCGUGAAGGAUGAAGGUCUUCGGAUUGUAAACUUCUUUUGAUCAGGGAAGAAAGAAAUGACGGUACCUGAAGAACAAAGCCACGGCUAACUACGUG
rnacentral:rRNA from 1 species